GAUGAAGAACGCAGCGAAAUGCGAUAAGUAAUGUGAAUUGCAGAAUUCAGUGAAUCAUCGAAUCUUUGAACGCAUCUUGCGCUCCUUGGUAUUCCUUGGAGCAUGCCUGUUUGAGUAUCAUGAGCAAACCUCAAAGUCAAUUCCUUUUGUUAAUUCAAUUGGUUUUGCUUUGGACUUGGAGGUCUUGCAGAUUUCACAGUCUGCUCCUCUUAAAUGUAUUAGCUGGAUCUCAGUAAUUAUGCUUGGUUCCACUCGGCGUGAUAAGUAUCACUCGCUGAGGACACUGUUAAAAAGGUGGCCAGGAAAAUACUGAUUGAACCGCUUCUAACGGUCUAUUAAGUUAGACAAUUACCCUUAAGUUUGAUCUCAAAUCAGGUAGGACUACCCGCUGAACUUAAGCAUAUCAAUAAGCGGAGGA
rnacentral:misc_RNA from 1 species